GCUUCCCUCUCUCUGUAGUGGGAAACAGUUCAAGCCUGAAGAAAGCAUGUUUACUUCCCUGAUGAGUUGCUCUAAGCUGCAGGUGUUAACUUGUACAUGAAAGACUUUAUAAGUAUGAACAAGUCAGUGCGUGCUUCCUGUAAACGAGUUAAAGUGCCCAGAGAAGGAAGAUGCAGAGCAACAAGUCCCGACAAGCCAAAACAGGCAUCUCAAUACGGUAUCUAAAACAUGGCUGCCGGAAGUCACAUGGCUGAUCCUUCUUGAUUCACUUUCAACCAGAAAAGCUUCUCCUGAAAUUCGAAAUGUGAUUAAAAUCAUUCUGGAAGAUAAAUCAAAAUGACUCACUUUCUUCGUGACCCUUUCUACGCAUGAGAAAAAGUCUUUGAUCAGCUCGUCUUGUACUUUGGGCUUGCAAGGCGACCCAAGGUUCCUAACAGUAGCCAGGAUGAAAGUCAGUAGGAGGCAAGCAGCCAGUGAUAAAAUGGUAAUAUUUAUGAGGGUUCUGUACGCACACUCACUCUCUCUUUCACCAAUAGUGGUUUGAACGCCUGAGGCCUCUUAUUUAUAGGCUGGGAUAGCAAGAGAUCCUCCCGGCUUGUCACAUUUUAGAGAGAUAGUGUGUUCAGACUCACCUUCCCCGGCCCACAUGCAGGAAUGUGGGGCAAUUGCUUAAAAAUUUCCAUUUCUUUCUUCUCCUUAAUUGCUGCAGGGUGUUGGGGAGAGUCCCUUUCACUUAUGUAGGUCACCUUUAGCUGGCCCUGUAACUCAAAAGGUGCUUGGCAUGGUUAAGAGUUUGAGCACAGUAAUCACUGACAGUACUCCUUGACAUAGUGUCAGAUAAUCAUUUUACUACCGAAAGAGAAGUGAAAGUUAUGUCAAAUCGUAGUUGCUAACUAUAUCUGCAGGUAAUUGGCAAGAUCUUUAUUUUGAUACUGGCUACAGAUAUCAGUUAACAAGUUUGGCGUGAUUUGUUUUCAACGUAAUCUGUUUUAUCUCUUAUCAAUGUGAUGUUUGUUUAGGCUGUUAUCUAUCCUAAUCGGUAUAACAUUGAAUUUCUAGAGGUGUUCUUUUCGAAUUCCAGAGAAUAAUUAAAGAAUUGUGAUUUUGCGUUUGAUGAUGUGUGGUUCCUAUAUGGAAUGAACUGCCAGAGGAAGUGAUAGAUGCAGGCACAGUUACAACAUUUAAAAGACAUUUGGGCAGGUACAUGAAUAGGAAAGGUUUAGAGGGAUAGGCACCAAAUGGAACUAGUUUAAUUUGGCAAACCUGGCCAGCAUGGACAAAUUUGACAAAAGGGUCUGUUUCUCUGAUAAAUGACUGUAUGACUCUAUGUUAUUCCUGUGACUUCCAAAUCUGCUUAAUAUAAGCUUUCUUGCCAAUACCUUCUAACAGGUACAAUCAACUAAAGAGCAGACCUUGACAUUAGUGACAUGAGAUGCUUAGAAGAUUAAAUUGUUGUAUAAAAUUUUCAAUUAGGCUUUUAGUCAUUGAAACAAGUACCAUAGGAUUGUGAGAUAACAAGUUGCAGACCUGGAUGAACAUAGCAGGCCUAGCAACAUCAGAGGCGCAGAAGCUGACGUUUCGGGUCUAGACUCUUCUUUAGAAAUGGGAGGAGGGCAAGUGCAUUCUGAAAUAAGUAGAGAGAGGCGGGGAGGCGAUGGGAUUUUGAAGCUUGUGAAGUCCCCAUUGAUACCAAUGGGCUGUAGGGUU